rnacentral:lncRNA from 1 species
AAAUUUUUAGUUAGAACGAAGGAUAGAAAUAGACUUGGCCGAUCUGAAUGGUGCAGCAAGCUGAUCAACACAAGUUAACCCUACCUCUGUUGGCUCUGGUUUUUGGCGGGGUUGAUAGGAAGGCUUAGGUGAAAAAGGAUUUUAACAAAUGGUUAUAAAACAAAAUAAAUCAUGAAAUGCAAUGCAAGGUGGAAAACAAUAUGAUAUGAGGAUCGUCUAAAAGAUAAAAAUUAGCCUAAAUUAACUAGCCACAAGUUUAGAAUCAAAGGGGUGGUGCCAUGCUUCAUAUUUCUCUCUAAAAAGGCACAACGAAAAAGACUCUAAACACUAAUAGCAUACAAAAAGGGGUCUAUAAGUUUUCCAAAAUCAAAUAACAAAGUACUCCCUUAAUAUUAUUUAAGCAUACAACAUGUGGUUGCAGAAUUUGUUAGAGUAAUGGUACAAUGUUACUGGAGGGUUUCAAUUAAAAAGCAUAAUAUAGACCGUCAUCUUAGUAAAGAAAAUAAAUAAAAAGACAG